rnacentral:lncRNA from 1 species
CCCUGACAAGAGGCUGGGGAGAUGGGGGGGNNNNNNNNNNNNNNNNNNNNNNNNNNNNNNNNNNNNNNNNNNNNNNNNNNNNNNNNNNNCCUCUCAUUAAAACGGAUUAAUUUAUUAUUUUUUGGGCGUUGCUUUGUCCCUCGGGAAGAGCCGGUGGCCGUGACCCCCCCUCCCCAAGCGCCCCCCCCUGAGUUACAGCCGCGCCGCCCCCGGCACGGCACCGAAACACUUAAAAAAACCCAAAAAACACCCCUAAAAAAACCCCAAAACCCCCACUGCGGCCGGGAUGGGGGGAAGGAUUCCCCAAAACCUCCAUCCCAGUUGGGUUUGGGGAAUGGGGGGAUCCCCCAAAACCUUCGUUCCAGUUUGGGGAAUGGGGGGAUCCCCCAAAACCUCCAUCCCAGUUGGGUGCAGGGGAUGGAGGGUUGGAGGGGAUUCCCCAAAACCUCCGUUCCAGUUGGGUUUGGGGAAUGGGGGGAUCCCCCAAAACCUCCAUCCCAGUUGGGUUCAGGGGAUGGAGGGUGGCAGGGGAUCCCCCAAAACCUCCAUCCCAGUUGGGUUCAGGGGAUGGGGAGGGUUGGAGGGGAUCCCCCAAAACCUCCAUCCCAGUUGGGUUUGGGGGAUAAAGGGGGACCCCUUCCCAGUUCAGGGCUGGGUGAGCUGGAUGCCGAAGACGUCGGGGUGGCGGUGCCGGUGGAGACAGGUGGCUUCGGAAGACCCUUCGGCGUCGCGCACGUUGUACUCCCCCUUCUUACACGCCGUGGUCUUCAGGUAGUAACCCCCGGCGGCCACCAAACCCACUGCUGUCACGGCCCCCAAGGAGCCCAAUGAGGCCACCAGGGCCAACCGACUCUCUGUGGGGCCAGAAGGUGCUGGUGACACCAUGGUGGUGGCCACGGCCCCCAAGGAGCCCAACGAGGCCACCAGGGUCAACCUAGACUAUAUUGGGCCAGAAGGUGCCGGUGACACCACGGUGGUGGCCACGGCCCUGAAGGAGCCCAACGAGGCCACCAGGGCCAACCCACUCUCUGUUGGGCCAGAAGGUGCCGGUGACACCACGGUGGUGGCCACGGCCCCCAAGGAGCCCAGCGAGGCCACCAGGGCCAACCCACUCUCUGUUGGGCCAGAAGGUGCCGGUGACACCACGGUGGUGGCCACGGCCCCCAAGGAGCCCAACGAGGCCACCAGGGCCAGAAGGUGCCGGUGACACCACAGUGGUGGCCACGGCCCCCAAGGAGCCCAACGAGGCCACCAGGGCCAACCGACUCUCUGUGGGGCCAGAAGGUGCCGGUGACACCACGGUGGUGGCCACGGCCCCCAAGGAGCCCAACGAGGCCACCAGGGCCAGAAGGUGCCGGUGCCACCACAGUGGUGGCCACGGCCCCCAAGGAGCCCAACGAGGCCACCAGGCCCAACCGACUCUCUUUUGGGCCAGAAGGUGCUGGUGACACCACGGUGGUGGCCACGACCGCCCCCCAACUUCAUUUUACCACCAACCCCCCCAUCCCCUCCUUCCAUAUUCUCCAUCCUUGGAUAUCUCACCGUCCACGUGGACCACCACGCUGCCGGCUCGCCGGCCGUGCCUGUUGGUGGCCGUGCAGGUGUAGAGGCCCCGGUUGACGGCGGCGGCGCCGGCCACGGCCACCGAGCGGUUGUCGGGGGCCAGGCGGAGGUUGGGGGCGGGG